AACUUAAUCAAGAGUCAAGCUUAGGGGUUGAAGGACCUGGGCAGGUGGUUGAAUGACCCCUGCUUGGUCCCUUUUCUCAUAUUUCCUCUGACCUUUCUCUCCCCCCCCCCCCCCAGUGCUUUAUCCCCAUAUUCUCAACCAGCGACACCUGGGCACCUUGAAGUACCUGCUCCACAAGAGAUUUGUUGAGAAAUCCAUGACGCAAGAAAAUUGGUCCGAUCACAUCCAGGGCAUCAUCGAGGACAACCAGUGGCUGCAAGAGCAGCUGGUCCAACUCCUGGUCCGUUACGCUGGCCUUGAGGUGGCUGUCCAGUGGGCCCGGCACUACAGACUCCUGGGGGACAGCUUGCCGCCUGGCCUGGCAGCCAGGAUGGACGAGCCAGCCAUCCCGGAGAGGUAGCGAAGAGGGUCGAGGAAGGUCCUUCCCCUGCGGCCGGCAAGAGGGCUAGGGAAUCCCAAGGCAAGGCCUGCCUCGUUCCUCCAGCCUUUGGGGCCAGGGUUCCCAGCCCCCUCCGAGGGGGACCCUUCUGGGUGGCGUGGUGGUGGU
rnacentral:lncRNA from 1 species